ACCCGGCUCACCGUUCCAGGCCGCCGAGCGCCCUCGGCCAAGGCCCGCCCGCCGGGAGCGCCCACGCCGGGGAGUGCCCGAGUGCGGCGCGGCUCCACCUCUGCGUUUUCUGAAGACCCGGGACUAGAGGCUUCUCGGUUUCCUCGUUGAGGACUUGGAGAUAGCACUACCUCAUCUGUAAAAUGGGUCUUCUCUCCUGUCUGGUGGUCGCAGAGAUCACCUCGCAAGGACGUCAAGAGCCAGCGAAGGCUCUGCUGGCCCGAAACAGCUGUGCAAACCUCAGAAUCACGCUCUUGAAUGGGACGGUCGCCGCCCCCCGCAGCCCCAGGGCGAGGUGCCCCCGGUCUGUAGGACGUGAAAUUCUAACUCUCUGCCCUGGGAAAGCCCCCUGCCGACCUCUCCCCACGGCCCCACCCGGGGCCCCGCACGUCUACCCGCCGCGCACGGGCCACCGCGCGUUCCCGCCUGAAGUUUUCGUACGCGCUGUUCCUUUCGCGUAGCCAAAUUCCACCGACCUCGAGGAAAUGCCACCUUCUCCAGGGGCCUUCCCAGACCCCCUCCCCUGCCCGCGGUCGACGGCCGCCCUGUGAUUACUGGGGGUGCGGUGGGAGUCACUGGACUCGCUGCCGAUCCUAGGAGCCCAGCACGGCGCCGCACGCGGUGGGCCCAAAGCCCGACCGUGGGGGACCUCAAACCAGAGGCCCUCAAGGCCCGUUCCACCCGGCCUGUGGCGCAGUGCUGGGCACUUGGGAACGGAGGUCCCUGUCUUCUCGCUGCAAGCCCCUCCGUGGUGCGCGCCGUGGGUCUGCGGGUUGGUCUUUUUCCUCGUUUAUGAAGUUCUUUUCACUCGUCGUUACUAUUUUGUAAGUUCACCAUUUAAAAAUUAAUAAUGCCAAGCCCGACAAACACCCCUCGGCACUUCCUCCCCUCCCCCUCUCCCGCGGGCCUCCGUGGCGGGGCGGGGCGGGCGCGUCCUGUCCCGUCCGGCCGCCGGGUGCGACGCGGCGCACGUCCGCCAGGCCCUGCCGAGGGGGAGCCGGGGAGGGGAGGCCCCGCGCGGGGGCCGGGAGGGGAAGGGAGGGGAGCGGCGUCUGCCAGAAGGCGCGGCGGCUUCGUGCGCUGAGGCUGGGAGUAGGGGCGGGAGGGGACUGUCGGGGACUGAUACCCCGGUCCCCGGGCUGGAUCCCUCGGCCCUCCUCCUGCUCCUGGGUAGCCCACGGGGCGGCCACCAUUGCGCUUCAUCACCGUGAUCGCCACACGCUGCUGGCGUUUUCCUAGGCCUGCUCUGGCUGCGCCCCCUAAUCUCAUUUACCCCUUAGAACGGCCUCCUUCUUAACCCAUUUCACAGAUGAGGAAACUGAGUUUCAAGAAAGGAAGCGACGUGCUUCGGGUCUACCGGCAAGGGCAAAGGCGGGAUUCCAGCCUGGGAGCGGGACAUCUGUCUCCCCUGCGGUCCGGCCCCCUGGGUGGGGCCUCGGCUUUAUCUCCGGAUGCGGGGCCCUCAUGACCCCAAAAGGAAGCGUGUGGCGAGGGACUGAGUGGAGUCGUGGCCUCGCCCUUGGCCUGGGUUGGGUGGCGCGCUUUCCUCUCCCUCUGUGAAGGGGGCUGGUACCUGGCCGGCUGUCCCCACACCCACCAUUCCCAGACGCGCCAUCCUGAGCUCACAGGAUUCCUCAGGAAUCCCCCACCUCCUCCACCCCAUCUUAUCGCCACUUCAAGCCGUUGCCCGUGCAGUUCUUUUCCCAGGGAGACCUAACUCCUCCUCCCAGGCUCCCAAAGCGGCAGAGGUAGCCGCGCCUUCUGCCUGGAGCCCUGGACUUAUCUCCCCACGCCUGGGGCGGGUAGUUAGUUACGGAGUGAGCGAGAGGCCAGGAUUGCGUGGGGGGAGGGGGGUCCUUCGAGUGUCCUCACUGUAGGGGUUGUCUACACCCAGCUGCCCUCUGUCUCUACAGGUGGAGGUCGCUUUAUGCACUCUAUUUUUUGUCUGUUUUAUCAUUCGCACCCCAGGAAAAAUAAAAUCAUGGGGGCCACAAGUCAGAAACGGGGAGGGGCAGGAACGGGAUUCAGCAAGGUGCUGUCUGGCACCUGUGGAUUUGGAAGCGUCUCUUCCAACACAGUCCCUCAGUUUCCCCAUCUGCCAAACAGGGCUGGUAAAAGCCCAACCCAGGGGGAGGCGGGGAGCCGUGCACAAAGUCGGGGUGCAUUCAGCAGGCUCUUGGGGAGUGCCAAGUGCGACCACGCCCUCCCUGGGAGGCCUAAAGGGAGCUUCCAGAAGAGCAACUCUGCACCCCUCUUCCUGGAGGGUCGAUUUGAGGCCAGGCUGGAAGAACCAGAGCUACUAUGGGGGGAAUGGGGGCAGCUCUAAGUAGACGCCUUCCAGUGUCCAAAUGACUGACCUUGGCGCGACCUCAUCACUAGCCCUUUGCCCAGGUCCUGGGUAGCCCUUUAGCCGGGUCUCCGUGUCUUCUUGACCAACCUGCCCAUUACUCUGCCGUCCCCCGUCCUGCCCCACAAGAUCUAAGACGUCCCCAGAAAGCUUCAGGUCUUGGCAGAUGUGCACACACGUGCCCCCAUGCUCCUGGCACUCUCAUUCCUCCUGGGCUGUCCUGUCAACACUCCCCCCUACCGCCGACCCCCCCUUCAGCAAGAUUCAGUCCCCUUCCCUGGCUGGCGUCACGGGCAGCGCCCUUCACCGCAUCCUGCCACAGGGACUUGUUUGCACAGCUGUCUCCCGCCGCUGGAGUGUGGGGUCCUUGAGAACUGACAUCUUUAAUUCGGGACUUUGCCGCCCUCCCCAACUUGUAACACAGAGCCUGGCAGAGGACUGGCACUCAAUGCCAAGAGGGGUGUGUAGGGGGUACAACGGGGGCACUUCCAGGAGGCUAAAGGAUCUGGGAGAUGCCUUUCUUCGCUAAACGUCCCCCAUCCAUCUCCUCCUUCAGCUGGCAUGGACCCAUCUUCUCCAGUGCCAAACCCAGAGGAGGCGGGCGGCCCUCUUGCCCAGGUACCCUCUGCAGCGCUUGCCCAGGUCGCACCAGACCGGUCCCAUCUCUUCUCUCCUUGAGGGACCCACUCGCAUCGUUGCCCUUUUAAGAAAGAGGAAAUUCUUCUCAUAAACAAGCGUCCGGACCUGAGCGCGGAGCCAGGCCGCCUGCCCUGCUGGGUCCCCAGGAAAUCGGGGGUUCUUCCAGGUGCAACACCCGGCCCAGGUUCAACUCUAGGGAAAGGCCUGUUGGCCUCUCCUCGCUGCGGCCCUCCGCAGGUCCUGGGCUGGGGUCUGAGGGACCCGACGAGGCUGGAGGAGGGACUUGGGGGAGCCUAGAAACAGCCUAGGGAACGUCUAUAAAGUGCAGCCCCUGAAUGGGGCGAAUGGGUGCCCAGCCGCUCCCUAAGGCAGAGGGGGCUCCCCGCCCACACAGCUUCCUCCCACCCACUCUCCCCGAAGGAUUCUGGGGCCCCUGGCGCGAGCCCCGAGCGCCCGCCUCCCCGCGUCGUUCCGCCUGGCGGGGAGGGGUGAGGCCGGGGCGGGAUGGCGGGCGUCGGGACCGUCUCUGCCCCUAGGGGGAGCAGUCAGCAGAGAGGGAGCGGUAACGGCGCGGCGUGGGAGUCGCGGCCGCCGGCUCCCCUGAGGAAACAGCAAAUAAUUUGGGCCUCAGAGGCACAGACUCUUGGGUUCCUUAUGACCUGGUGCCUGACGGAGAAAGAAGUGCGCCGCCGUUUUACUGUCUGGAAAAUGGGUUGCAGGCGGAACAGAAAGGCUGCGGCGAAUAGGAGCGGACCAGACCCUGGUGUAGGGGUCUUCUGGAUGCUUUAGAGACUUCGUGCCUUCCCGGUUCCCAUUCCCUGCUCCUUUGGACGAGAAGGGAACUAGUAUUUAUUUAACUUUAAUCAGGCCGGGUUUGGUGGCUCACGCCUGUAAUUCCCAGCACUUUGGGAGACGGAGAUGGGCGGAUCACUUGAAUCCAGCAGUUCGAGACCAGCCUGGCCAGCAUGGCAAACCCCGUCUCUGCUGAAAAUACACAAAUUAGCUGGGCGUGGUGGCGCGCGCCACUCCCGGGGCUGAAUAAAGAGAAUCGCUUGAACCCAGAAGGUGGAGGUUGCAAUGAGUUAAGAUUGCGCCACUGCACUCCAGCCUUGGCAACAGAGGGAGACCCUUUCCCUGUCUCAAAUAAAUAAAUAAAUAGAUAGAUAGAUAAUUUAACAUUCAUCAGACACUAUUUCAAGCUCCAGUUUGGAGCCUGUGUCCCGCCCAAGUCCUCAAGCCCUCACCCCACCCACCCUUGGGCUGUCAGGUCACGCCUGCAGGUGCUCAAUAAAUACCUUUUGAAAUGUUUUUCGUUUGUUUGUUUUUGUCCCAAGUGCCAGACACUGUGUUAAAGUGCUUAACCUCCAUGGCAAGGGUGGUGGUGUCUCCAUUUUACAGAUGAGGACACUGAGACCCAGAGGGUAAUCACAUGGCUGCGCUAGGAAACAGCAGGUCCCUAAAGCCCCCAGGUUGGCUGGUCUCAGGAACUGUCCCACUCUAUCCUGCUGCCUGCACGCGCCCCCUCCACAUCCAGCAGGCCAGUCACGUCAUACAUGCCACUCCCAGCCAGGCCCUGGUGUGGGCCUAGCCAGAGGUGGCUCCGUGGGCAAGGCAACAGGUCCAGACCUGGGGGAGGGGCAACCAUGAAUUGGGGAGAUGCCAAGACCUCUGGGGAAGCCCCAUUGUGUCCCCCCAAACCCUCCCCAUUGGUUGCCUCUUGUCCUUCCCUCAUCCAUUCCCAAGGCAUCCCCUGGCCCUACUGUACCAGGUAGGUGCUGAGGCCCAGGUAGGCUGCGGCCAGCAAGGCUGCAAGGCCGAAGUAGGCAGGGUGGGGCAGGCUGGGCAGAUAGCUGACCACGAAGUAGAGGUUGAUGGCGCAGACUAGCACCAUGAUGGAAGAGGUGACGACCUUGUUCAGCCUGGGGGACACGAGAGAGGCUCAGGACUGGCUGGUUGCUGCUGGCCCACCUGCAUCAACUCCUCUUCAUCUCCCAGCGCCCACACUGGGGGUGGGGAUACACUGAGGCCGCUUCUCUGGUCUGUGGGACCUGGAGCAGACAGACCCCCUCCCCACCUCCUGCCUCCUGGGCCCUCCAGGCUACACACUGGCGGGAUUUGGCAAGAGCUGAGUCUGAGGCGAGAGUGAGGCGCUCAGGCUCUAGAAACAGCCCUCUUCCCUGGAUUCCAGUCUUGGCUCCUCAACUUGCUAGCUGUGUGAACCUGGAGACAGAGUCUCACUCUGUUGCCCAGGCUGGAGUGCAGUAACAAGAUCAUAACUUACUGUACCCUUGGACUUCAAGACUCAAGGUAUCCUAUCUCCUCAGCAUCCUGAGCAGCUGGGACUACAGGUCCUCCCCCCAGCCCCGCAUCCAACCCAGCCUUGUAGGUGUCUGGUCAUACCGUCCACUAGAGAGCAAAGCGUCUCUGGAGUCUGCAGCAGCAGGUCUGACGAACGAACAAGGGAAGGAGAGAGCCUGCACCGCCACCACUCCCUCAGGGGAGCUUGCCUAAAGUUUGCUACUGAGCAUCCGGACAGAAGCCACUGGCCAGCACUGACGUUCCACGAGGAGCCCAGAGGAUGCGACGAUCAUCUGCCCAUUAUUUUUACUCUCGGACCCCCCACCUCCGGAGUCUGGGGGUCCCUCUGUGUCAGUGGGAACCGGGAGGAGCUCGAGCCUGAGUGCUAGCUGCGUUUGCGAGAUUUCAGGGGGUUUGAGCUAAGCCAGAGGUGGUCCACGUCGGCCCUCCUCCCUCCCCAACCCCCCGCCGCUUGUUAUUUUUCUUUGGGCGGUUGGUUGGGCAAUUAUGCUCUGCGACCGUAAGAUCUGAGUGCCAAGGCGCCCGCCCCUCCGUGCUAACCUAGUAAGAGUGUGGGCUUUUUCUUUUUUUUCUUUUCUUUUCUUUUUUUUUUUUUUGAGACGGAGUCUCGCUCUGUCGCCCAGGCUGGAGUGCAAUGGCGCCAUCUCGGCUCACUGCAACCUCCGCCUCCGGGGUUCAAGCGAUCCUCCUGCCUCAGCCUCCUAACUGGGAUUACAGGCGCGCGCCACCAUGCCCGGCUAUUUUUUGUAUUUUUAGUAAAGAUGGGGUUUCACCGUGUUGGCCAGGCUGGUCUCGAUCUCCUGACCUGGUGAUCCGCCCGCCUCGGCCUCCCAAAGUGCCGACAAUACAGGUUUAAGCCACCGCGCCCGGCCGAGUGUGGGCUUUCAAGUCCAACGUUGAGGUUCAAAUUCUGCCUCCCCACCUGCCAACUCCAAAAGUUAAACUUUCUGUGCCUCUGUGUUCUUAUCUGUAGAAUGGGGAUAAUGAUGAAAACAGCAUCUAGGAGGAAAGGCUGAAAUCUACUCGAGGUACGACGGUAACGGUUCCUAUUUCUAGCCCGAGACACUAGACGCUAGCCAGGGACGCUGUCGACGGGCGCUGCAGAGAAGCGGGAGGGCCCCAUUUAUUCCCCCAAAACCGCAGCCCGGAAAGCGCACCCGCCCCGGCGCGUCCCGCCCGCGUCCCAGCCCGACCCCUGGUUUCCUGCCCUGUCCGGGCCUGGGCCCCGCUUAGGCCGCCCCCGAGCGGGCGUCUCCCUCCGGCUCCAGGGAGCGGAAAGGGUUGGGCCGGUGGGAGGAGCCCAAGGCCGGUGACGACGGACGCCACGGGUCGAAGGGGCCGAAGAACUCGGCGGCGAAGGUGACCACGUCCUCCGGCUGGCGCAGCAGCAGGAAGAGCAGGAAGUCGGAGAUGAGCGCGUGGGCUUCGGGGUGCUGCCGCAGAUAGCUGGCGUGGCCGAGCCGGAGCUCCUCCUGGCAGGGGACAGAGCCCGAGCCUCAGCCGGACGGGACCCCCGCGCCCCAGGAGCCCCCAGCCGCUCGCUCCAAGGAGAGCUAAGGGGCGCUGGAGCCUUCUAGCCCCUACGGGUGUGCAUUUCAAUCAGGUGCAGAGAUCAGUAAUGAAUUUAAGGCCCAUGGGGGAAUGGGAACCCCAGGCUGGUGGAGCCUCCCCUCACCUUCCGGUCCAGGAACUUCGAAUAGAGCUCCAUAUCCUCCUCCCAUACCAGGGGCUUCUUCUCAAACACUGGGCGUGGCUCAAUCUCAUCUAGGUGGGGAACAAGGAAGGCUGGGCGUCCCUACCCCGGAACCUUCCUUGGAUACACAGCGAGAUCCCGAGAACACCCAAACAGAAGGCUCAGGUGAAACCCCAGGAUUCUGCCCACAUGGGCAGAGUUGCAGGAAGGGACUUCCAGUAGGAAAGAUCCUCCUCUUAUUGCUUGGGGUCAGGGGCUGGAGGGCAGAUGUUCUCCAGCUGAUUCCAGGCUCCUGUCCCGUUUACAGCACACUGGGUCCAGCCCCCUGCAUCCUGGAAGGCCCAGGUUUCCCCACUCCCCUUAACUCUCCCUGCCUGCACAAGGCCUGGGCUUCACUCACCCUCUUCCCUCAAGAUGGGCAUCUUGGUGAUGAUGCAGCACCCUGGGGAGCCCACCUGUAUUCUCUUGGCCAGGUGCCUGGAGUGCAACACAACAUGUGAGAGUGAGAAUCUUCCCAGACCGCCUGCUAUGGACUGAAUUGUCUCUCUAACCCCCAGUGUGGUGGUAUUUGGAGGCCAUGUGAGGACACAUUGAGAAGGCACUUGUCUGCAAGCUAGGAAGACAGCCCUCACCAGAAACCAACCCUGAUGGCACCAUGAUCUUGGACUUCCUGCCUUCCAGCAAAUAUAUUUCUCUUGAAGCCACCCAGCCUGUGGUGUUUUGUUAUGGCAGCCUAAGCAGACUCCUACAUGACAGUGCCCCUUGAGAGACCUGUCCCGGGCCUCUUUACUUCUGCCUCCCUCUCUUGUUUAUUAAGUUCCUGGGUGGUGUUCAUUUCUGGAUCUCCAAAUAACGCACAGGGCUUGGCAAGUAUUAGGCCCCCUGUUUAAAAAAAACAAAAAGGAUCUUUAGAGGUACAGCACUCGAAAAUCAUGGAGCCUCUUGGCCAGGCACGGUGGCUCACGCCUGUAAUCCUAGCACUUUGGGAGGCUGAGAUGGGUGGAUCACUUGAGGUCAGGAGUUUGAGACCAGCCUGGCCAACAUAGUGAAACGCCGUCUCUACUAAAAAUACAAAAAACUAGCCAGACGUGGUGGUGGGCGCCUGUAAUCCCAGCUAUUUUGGUGGCUGUGGCAUGAGAAUCACUUGAACCUGGGAGGUGGAGGUUGUAGUGAGCCAAGAUUGCAUCCCUGUACUCCAGUCUGGGUAACAGAGCGAGACUGUCUCAAAAAGAGAAAGAGGCCUGUCGCAGUGGCUCACACUUGUAGUGGCUCACGCCUGUUAUCCCAGCACUUUAGGAGGCCAAGAUGGGCAGAUCACUUCAGGUCAGGUGUUUGAGACCAGCCUGGCCAACAUGGUGAAAGCCUGUUUCUACUAAAAAUACAAAAAUUAGCCAGGCGUGGUGGCAGGCACCUGUAGUCCCGGCUACUUGGGAGGCUGAAGCAAGGGAAUCACUUGAACCUGGGAGGCGGAGGUUGCAGUUAGCCAAGAUUAUGCCACACAUUCCAGUCUAGGUGACAGAGCGAGACUCUGUCAAGAAAGAGACAGAGAGAGAGAAAGAGAGAAAGAGGAAGGAAGGAAGGAGAAAGAAAGAAAAGAAAAAUUAUGGAAUCUCCUGCUAUGCGGCAUUCAAAAUAAAAAGGUUGGCCUGGAGCUGUGGUGCAUACCUGUAGUCCCAGCUACUAGGAAGGCUGAAGCAGGUGGAUUGCUUGAGCCCAGGAGUUGGAGGCUGCAGUGGGCUAUGAUCGCACCAAAACCGAAAACAUACUAAGUUAUGAGAUAAAGCCAACAAUGUUUUGAUUACCUUUUCCCCAGUGUAGUGAUUAUGUGAAUAUCUAUUCUGAAAUUUUAAGAAAUAAACUCGACUGGAGUCUGUCUCAAAAAAACAAAACAAAACAAAAAAACAGAAAGAAACUCUUUCUUCCACCUGAAUUUUCUUUUUCUUUCUUUUUUUUUUUUGAGACGGAGUCUUGCUGUCACCCAGGCUGGAGUGCAGUGGCGCGAUCUCGGCUCACUGCAAGCUCUGCCUCCUGGGUUCACGCCAUCCUCCUGCCUCAGCCUCCAGAGUAGCUGGGACUACAGGCGCCCACGACCACACUUGGCUAAUUUUUUGUAUUUUUAGUAGAGAUGGGGUUUCACCGUGUCAGCCAGGAUGGUCUCAAUUUCCUGACCUCAUGAUCCGCCCGCCUCAGCCUCCCAAAGUGCUGGGAUUACAGGUGUGAGCCACCACGCCCAGCCCUGAAUUUUCUUAUGAUUUGGAGCCAGUGCUUUGCUGGAGACUGCACGGCAGCCUGCCACAGGCAAUUCUUCCAGCACAGUGAUUUCAUCAAGUGUGCAGUCAUUCAGACCUUGGUGUUUUUCAGUAUUAUCCCUUACACAGUGGUGGCUGCACUAGCUACACCCCAGGCCUGUGGUGUGCAGUGAGAAGGUUUGGGAGGCACUGUGAGGGUUAAGAGGACGAGCAAAUAAAUGAAGAAAGAGUGAAUGAUAUGGAUAAAGCGGAGGGACACUCCUAUCUCAAUGCCAGUUCUUCCUGGUGCUAUCCCCAGAAGCAGCCGGUCUCCUUGAGCACCUACAAGCUCAGCACCACCCCUCUGGGCCCACCAUCAGCAGCUCACCCAUCGGAGAGCAGGUAGUACUGGCAGGACAUGGGGAUGCCCUCCUCCGCGUGGACAGUCUGCUCCACGAUGAAGACUUCAGCCUGCUGAUGGUCUACCUGGAUGGUCUGGAAGCCCAGGUUUUGCUGGCAACAGCCAAAAUUGGGGGGUGGGAGGUAAGGUGGAUGCCCGCCAAGGGCUCCCCAUCAUCUUACCUUAGCCUUUUCUCCAUCUCAUAACAACCUCAAGACAUUUAAUAUUGCAUCUCCAAACCUCCAAGCUGAGUUGGCGACCCCUCAUAGGGAGCUAGCUCCAGGUUGCCCUUGCCCUGACCCCUCCCAUGUCAUCUCGCUGACCAGGUGCUUCUAGUUGGCAAAUUCUGUUACAGGGAUGAGAAGCGGUAUGCGGGGGGGUGUGGGAGCGGAGAGGUAGGAUGAGCUACUAGGGCCAGUGGGUGGAGGUAAAGUGAGGCUCAGAGGUGUGAGACCAGACAGAUUUGUGGCCACCUCAGACCUGUGCUGUUGCUGGCAGGCUGUCCCUGUUGUGAUUAAAACUUAAACCCCUGUUGUAGCUGCAGCUAUGGAGAAAAAAGUGCUAAUGUUAAACACAUGUUUCAAAGAACACGGAGGGGAAUGGAUUGUGCUUGUUCAUGUCAAAUGCAUUGCUGCUUGGUGUGUUUUGAUAGACAAGCCUGGAAUGUAAUUUACAAAGAUGGUCAAAGAAACACAAAUCAGCCCCCAAAGUGUCUCACUGGAAAUUGUGUGUUCAGUGGCAUGGCUUUAAAAUCACUGAUUGCAGGAAGUCCUAGGCAUGCUGAUUAUGAAAUUUUAGUUAAAAACAAAAAACAAAACAAAAACGGAAC
rnacentral:lncRNA from 1 species